rnacentral:rRNA from 1 species
CGACCUGAGCUCAAGCAAGACCACCCGCUGAACUUAAGCAUAUCAAUAAGCGGAGGAAAAGAAACUAACAAGGAUGCCCUUAGUAACGGCGAGCGAACCGGGCAAAGCCCAACUUGAAAAUCUCCCUCUGGAGAAUUGUAGUCUAUAGAAGUGCCCUCUGUAGCGGGCGGACGUUAAGUUUCCUGGAAAGGAACGUCAGAGAGGGUGACAACCCGUCGGCUCCUGCUUUGCUGCUCCACGAGGUGCUUUCCAAGAGUCGGGUUGUUUGAGAAUCAGCCCAAAAUUGGUGGUAAAUCCCAUCUUAAGGCUAAAUACCGAGG